UGUCACUGUCACUGUCACCGUCACUGUCACUGUCACCGUCACCUCCCUCGGCACAUCCUCGACCCCAACACCCGCUUCCCGCUCCCCGUCACAUUCCCUGCGCGCCUCAUCCCAAUCCCUGUAAAACGCCGAGCCGGAAUUCCGUGGGAUUAUCCCGAAAACCCCCCGCUCUCCACCCCUGCCGUAAUUCCCAGCCCUUCCUCACGCUGCGGAAUCCCGGAUUUGACGACUCAGCCCUCGGCCGGGAGCCGCAGGCGGAGGGAUGGAUUCCCCCAUCCCUCAUUUCCAGCCCCAAAUCCCAAAAAUCAGCUUCGGGGCGGCCACCGGGGCACUGGAAAACGGCCGGAGAAGGAAUGUUAAGCAGGACAUUCCCAAGGGGGGAAAAAUCCCGGCGGAUGAUCCAUGCGGGCCGCAGAUGGAUCCCGGUGGGAAGCAGAGCCGAGGCCACGCGGUCCAGGGGCUUCCAGGGGGAUCAGAGAGCAGCCAAAAUUCCAGGUUUUAUUUAAAAUAAUAAUAA